UACGAAGGGGGCUAGCGUUGCUCGGAAUCACUGGGCGUAAAGCGCACGUAGGCGAAAUGCUAAGUCAGGGGUGAAAUCCUGGAGCUCAACUCCAGAACUGCCCUUGAUACUGGCGGUCUCGAGUCCGGGAGAGGUGAGUGGAACUGCGAGUGUAGAGGUGAAAUUCGUAGAUAUUCGCAAGAACACCAGUGGCGAAGGCGGCUCACUGGCCCGGUACUGACGCUGAGGUGCGAAAGCGUGGGGAGCAAACAGG
rnacentral:rRNA from 1 species